UGACGAGUUUGAUCCUGGCUCAGAUUGAACGCUGGCGGAAUGCUUUACACAUGCAAGUCGAACGGCAGCACGAGAGCUUGCUCUUGGUGGCGAGUGGCGAACGGGUGAGUAAUAUAUCGGAACGUAUCCAAUAAUGGGGGAUAACUAAUCGAAAGGUUAGCUAAUACCGCAUACGCCCUACGGGGGAAAGCAGGGGAUCUUCGGACCUUGCGUUAAUGGAGCGGGCUGAUAUCUGAUUAGCUAGUAGGUGAGGUAAAGGCUCACCUAGGCUUCGAUCAGUAGCUGGUCUGAGAGGACGACCAGCCACACUGGAACUGAGACACGGUCCAGACUCCGUACGG
rnacentral:rRNA from 1 species